rnacentral:pre_miRNA from 1 species
CCUCUACUUUAACAUGGAGCCACUUGCUGUGAAUUGAUUGAAAAAAAAAUAAGUGCUUCCAUGUUUUAGUGCGG